ensembl:lncRNA
AAAGUAAAAGUGAAGGCUGUGUAGCUGCUGUUCAUUACUCCGUGAAAGCAGAAGGCCAGUUGGAAUGGCAGGCAGGAUAAGCGGCCUGACUCCGUUGGUGUUUAAGUGGAGCUCUGGUAUUCUAGUGCAUUCUUUUACCUCUGCUUCUGUUGCGUUGCAAGCUGUGCUAGAGAAGACGUAGGAAAUUCAUUUUACCCAAUCAGCAAUUGUAACAAUGGACUACAAACCUGCAGAGCAAGCCGGUUUGCUGGAAAACAGGAAUUCCUGCAGCGCAGCACUUGUCACAGACUAUCCAAAGAGGGCAAAGAUUCAGGAGAGUGAAUAAAUUGAACAUUGAUUGAAUGAGGUCAGGAACGGUCUCCCGGAGGAGAGCCCUGCCCUAAAAUACUACUUUGAGAGUAUAAGCCAAUUUAAUGCGCAGAUUAACCCUUCUCAUUUGAGCAAACUUGUGUGCAAUCCUGGAUCUUUGCAGAUCACGACUGGACACUUCAAAAAAAAAAACAAAAUCUGUGUACUAUAUUUGCUUAAAAAAUAAAUCCUACCUUGUCUUGUUACACCUGUUAAUUUUAGCAUUUCAUUGACAAUAUCUGCAACAGAAAUGUAUAUUUGACUUGACGCAGUAUCCUACAUUUGGUAUAACUCAGGUUGUUGACAAAAUUAUUCUGUGAGGCUCAGUACCACCUCUUCGUUCUGCUCUGAACAAAGUUCUUUAACCAUUGCUGUCAUUUCCAGAAGUAAUUUAUAGCCCAUGUAUGCAUUGCAAAAUUCUUGAACGGAUUUAAUAGCUGACCUAAAUUAUUGUUCUUGUUUUAUCCUCAUAGAAUAGUUAGCAUCUUGAACGUCAGACCAGACUUUUGUGGUCUGACGUUCAUGAAAAUCAUUCAUUGGUUCAUGGUUUAAUUGUUUUACAUCUCCGUAUUUUGUUUUCUUUUCCUCUCCCCUCGCAUACUAGGGAGUAUGAUCAAGGUAAUACUAUGAUCCAGUAACGCGCUUGAUGGUAAGGGUUUGCCUUUAGUUGUUUCAGGAAAAAAAAACCAACUGCCGUUAUCUGCUCUCCUUUAACUUUCUUGAUAGUUUCAAUAAUAUGCUUAACAUGAAGUGUUUGUAAAUCGAUUAAAAAAAAAAUGUUUGUGACUUCACCUAAAUAAAUUUUUAUAUAUAUG